AUUGAACGCUGGCGGCAUGCUUUACACAUGCAAGUCGAACGGUAACAGGUUAAGCUGACGAGUGGCGAACGGGUGAGUAAUGCAUCGGAACGUGCCCGGUCGUGGGGGAUAACGCAGCGAAAGCUGCGCUAAUACCGCAUACGAUCUGAGGAGGAAAGCGGGGGACCGUAAGGCCUCGCGCGAUCGGAGCGGCCGAUGUCAGAUUAGGUAGUUGGUGGGGUAAAGGCUCACCAAGCCAACGAUCUGUAGCUGGUCUGAGAGGAUGACCAGCCACACGGGGACUGGGACAGGGCCCAGACUCCUACGGGAGGCAGCAGUGGGGAAUUUUGGACAAUGGGCGAAAGCCUGAUCCAGCAAUGCCGCGUGCAGGAAGAAGGCCUUCGGGUUGUAAACUGCUUUUGUACGGAGCGAAAAGGUCUCCUCUAAUACAGGGGGCUCAUGACGGUGCCGUAAGAAUAAGCACCGGCUAACUACGUGCCAGCAGCCGCCGUAA
rnacentral:rRNA from 1 species